GUUGAACGCUAGCAGGACGCCUAACACAUGCAAGUCGAACGGCAGCAGCCUUUCUUCGGAGAGGUGCUGGCGAGUGGCGAACGGGCGAGUAACACGUGCCUAACCUACCCUGGAGAGGGGGAUAACUGGGGAAACUCAGCUAAUCCCCCAUAAGCUCUUUAAGGUGAGAGGCCUUAAAGAGGAAAGGCGAAAGCCGCUCUAGGAGGGGGGCGCGGCCCAUCAGCUAGUUGGUGAGGUAAAGGCUCACCAAGGCUAAGACGGGUAGCCGGUCUGAGAGGAUGAUCGGCCGCAACGGGACUGAGACACGGCCCGUACCCCUACGGGGGGCAGCAGUGGGGAAUCUUGGGCAAUGGGCGGAAGCCUGACCCAGCGAUCCUGCGUGGAGGAGGAAGCCCUACGGGGUGUAAACUCCUUUUCUGGGGGAAGACGACUGACGGUACCCCAGAAUAAAGGACGGCAAACUACUUGCNANCANCCGCGGUAAUACGUAGUCCGAACGUUACACGGAGUUACUGGGCGUAAAGGGUCCGUACCCGGUUUGGUAAGUCUACCUUCAAAGACCAUGGCUCAACCAUGGGGAGGGGGUAGAUACUGCUGAGCUAGAGGCAGGUGGAGGCUAGUGGAAUUCCCGGUGGAGGGGUGAAAUCCGUUGAUAUCGGGAGGAAUGCCGAAAGCGAAAGCAGCUAGCUAUGCCUGGCCUGACGGUGAGGGACGAAAGCCUGGGGAGCGAACCGGAUUAGAUACCCGGGUAGUCCAGGCAGUAAACAAUGCACGCUAGGUGUUGAGCGAUAGUCUCAGUGCCGUAACCAAACGGGUUAAGCGUGCCGCCUGGGGAGUACAGUCGCAAGACUGAAACUCAAAGGGAUAGGCGGGGGAGCACACAAGCGGUGGAGCGCCUCGAUUAAUUGGAUAAUAAGCCAAGAAUCUUACCUGGGCUUGACAUGUAGUCUGUCGUACCCGARAGGGUACUAGGUAGCCGUAAGGCUACCGGGCUACACAGGUGCUGCAUGGCCGUCGUCAGCUCGUGCCGCAAGGUGUCCGGUUAAGUCCGGGAACGAGCGCAACCCUCGCACCUAGUUAGGAUGUCUAGGUGGACAGCCGGGGUAACCCGGAGGAAGGAGGGGAUGACGUCAGGUCAUUAUGGCCCUUAUGUCCAGGGCGUCAGAGGCGCUACAAUGGUGGGUACAAUGGGAAGCGAAGGGGAGACCUGGAGCGAAUCCUGGAAAGCCCACCGUGUGCGGAUUGCAGUCUGGAACUCGACUGCAUGAAGUUGGAAUCGCUAGUAAUGGCGGGUCAGCCACACCGCCGUGAAUAAGUCCCUGCUCCUUGCACUCACCGCCCGUCACACCAUGGGAGCUGG
rnacentral:rRNA from 1 species